UGUAACACAGGUAUUCAAUGUGAACAGCUUGAUAUAGAUCAAAGGAGGAAAGGGGACCCGUAUAGCUGGACAAAGCGAGAAGAUUUGACUCUGACAAAAUUGCAGGCUUAUCUGUUUGGUAACCCAGAGGCACCGCCGAGAGAAGAUGAGAAGCUUUGUCUUGCAGCGGUCAUCCUUACAGAGGGAAUACUAAUGACGCCUAAUUC
rnacentral:lncRNA from 1 species